GCGUCACGCGGGAGCGUCUGCGUCGCCUACCCUGCGUGGCGCAGCUAGGUUCCGAGCGGCUUAGCCUCCGGGCGCCUGCGCAGUGGCGGUCCUAGAGACGCACUCGGUUGCCAUAGAGACGGGGGCUUGGGAGCGACGUCGCGCUCGCUGGCACUGGCGGCACUUGCCGCGCCGCAGCCACCUCUUUCCGACUCCACCAGUGCGGGCCCUAUCCGGGGUUUUGAGUCACGCAGACCUGGACACAGCGAGAAACGGCAGUCCGGGCCCGUCCUCCCGCCCCGGGUUCUGCACCCCAGAGUUGGACGCUUGCUUCUCGCUUUCUCCUGAGAGAAGUCUCCGCGUUUCUGAACAAUGCACUGCUAGUUUCUCAUUUCUUUCUUUCUUUCUUUUUUUUUUUUUGGAGACGGAGCCUCGCCCUGUCGCCCAGGCUGGAGUGCAAUGGCGCGAUCUCGGCUCAUUGCAACCUCCGCCUCCAGGGCUUAAACUAUUCUCUUGCUUCAGCCUCCCGAGCAGCUGGGACUACAGGCAUGCGCUACCACGCACAGCUAAUUUUUGCAUUUUUAGUCAAGACGGGGUUUCACCAUUUUGGCCAGGCUGAUUUCGAACUCCUGACCUCGUGAUCUGCCCUCCUAGGGCUCCCAACGUGCUGGGAUUAUAGGCGUGAGCCACCGCGCCCGGCCUCUCAUUUCUUAAUUGUAGACAUUGCGUACUUCCGGAGAAGGUCCCUGAGAACCUGGCUGAUCUUCCCCGCUGCACCCCUCACGUGGUCCUGUUAGCUCCCAAACUGUCAACCUGAAAGGAAACCCAGAGGCAGGCUCUCCAGGACAAGUGAGUUAAUCUGGGAAUCGCAGGGGGUUGCAGCCUAGGCUGUUCGUGCCAUGACAGAUCAUAGGCCUAUCUGAGAGGGCCGGGCGAAGGGGAAAAUACAGAUGAGCUCACAAAAGUUGUUUUGUAACAAAAACCACUGGCUGUGGGCGCUUGCUGCAGGAGUGGGCGUUAGCUUGUUGUUGGAGAGAGCCUUACCAGGCCGACGUCCUUGUGCAAGCUGCUUAUCUAGAAUACUGCAGUCCUGAGGAAUUUCCCUGCAGUAAGUCCGGUUACAGGCAAACGUGCAGGACGUGCAGGAGCGUCUUGUGAGGAGGCCUGCUGCAGGUAUUCCUGCAUGAGAGCUCCCCCUUCGUGGCCUCCCGACUCCAUUUGUUUAGGGAUUGGUGGAAGUAGUUCCAUUUUGGUACCUGCAACUUUCACAGCUGUCGUGAUGAAAUCAGGCUUAGCUCUUCAUGAUUGAGUACCUGCUGUUCACUGCUACAGUAUAAAACCAUGCCACAAUUCCUGUACAAUCUUUUUUUUUCUUUUGAGUUAAUAAUUACCUAAUAUUUUCACAUAUCUAGCUUUUUACUAACCCAUGGCCAGCCUUUUUUUCAAGUACCCCAACGUUUUCGCCACAUGCCUAACGAUACCGUUUUCCAAAGGCUCAAACACAUCCGUUGUGUCUAACUGAUUCUCCUGUUCCGACCUAGACCGAUCACUUCCUGACCCGGCUGCACAGCUCUUAUCUCGAGCUUUUCUCUGCUCUCAUCCUUGAGACUCACUUUGUCUGUCUCCUUUCUUGGAUUCCCUGUGUAAACGAAAAAUAAAAUCCUAAGCUCUCUACCAACUGUUUUUUGUUUUGUUUUGUAUUUGAGACAGGGUCUUGCUCUGUUGCCCAGGCUGGAGUGCAGUGGCACUAUCUUGGUUGACUGCAGCCUCUGCUUCCUGGAUUCAAGUGAUCCUCCCACCUCAGCCUCCUGAGUAGCUAGGACCACAGACAUGCACCACCAUGCCGGUUAUUUUUAAAUUUUUAGUAGAGACAGGGUGUCACCAUGUUGCCCAGGCUGGUCUCAAACUCCUGGGCUAUGCUGUUUGCUCACCUCUGCCUUCUGAAGUGCUGGGAUUGGCUGGGUGCGAUGGCUUCACGCCUGUAAUCCCAGCAGUUUGGGAGGCUGAGGAGGGCAGAUCACUUGAGGUCAGGAGUUCAUGACCAACCUGACCAACAUGGUGAAGCCCUGUCUCUACUAAAAAUACAAAAAUACAAAAAAAAAAAAUAUUAGCCAGGCAUGGUGGUGCACGCCUGUAGUCCCAGCUACUUGGGAGGCUGAGGCAGGAGAAUUGCUUGAGCCCAGGAGGUGGAGGUUGCAGUGAGCUGAGAUCGUGACACUGCACUCCAGCCUGGGGAACAGAGCAAGAAUCCGUCUCAAAAAAAAAAAAAAAAAAAGCCAGACGCGGUGGCUCAUGCCUGCAAUCCCAGCACUUUGGGAGGCCAAGGCAGGCAGAUCAUGAGGUCAUAAGAUCGAGACCAGCCUGGCCAACAUGGUGAAACCCCGUCUCUACUAAAAAUACAAAAAUUAGCUGGGUGUGGUGGUGGGCACCUGUAAUCCCAGCUACUUGGGAGGCUGAGCCAGGAGAAUGGCUUGAACCCAGGAAUCGGAGGUUACAGUGAGCCAAGAUCAUGCCACCGUACGCCAGCCUGGUGACAGAGGAAGACUCUGUCUCAAAAAAAAAAAAAAAGAAAAAAAACCAGCCAGGCACAGUGGCUCACGCCUGUAAUCCCAACACUUUGUGAGGCCAAGGUGGGAGGAUCACCUGUGGCCAGGAGUUGGAGACCAGCCUUGCCAACAUGGCAAAACCCCAUCUCUACUAAAAAUACAAAAAUUAGCCGGGCUUGGUGGUGCUCGCCUGUAGUCCCAGCUACUUGGGAGGCUGAGGUGGGAGAAUUGCUUGAACCCAGGAGGCAGAGGUUGCAGUGAGCCAAGAUCUGGCCACUGCACUCCAGCCUGGGUGACAGAGUGAGACUCCGUCUCAAAAACAAAAAAAACAAAAAAAAAAAAAGAAAAGAAAAAGAAAAAACAAAAGUGCUGGGAUGUGAGCCACCACACCCAGCCAGCCCUCCACCAACUGAACAGAUUCCCUUUUGACCAAGGGGACCCCAGAGAAAUUUUUAAAACUGAGUUUCCAGCCGGGUGGAUCCGCCUAUAACCUAUAAGCCCCCACUUCAAGAUAUCCCACCUUUUUAGGCCAAACCAACGUAUACCUUCUAUGUAUGUAUUUAUGUCUUUGCUUAUAACUCCUGCCUUUCUAAAGUGUACAAAACCAAACUAAACCGACCACUUCAGAACCACUUACUGAAGGCUUCUCGGAUGUGUGUUUUCCUGGGGCCCACAGUCAUUCAUAUUGGCUCAAAGUAAACCUUUUGAAAGUAUUUUGUGAAGCUGGACAUGGUGGCUCAUGCCUGUAAUCCCAGCCCUCUGGGAGGCUGAGGUGAUUGGACCACUUGAGCCCAGGAUUUAGAGACCAUCCUGGGCAACAUGUUGAAAUCCCAUCUCUACAAAAUAUACAAAACUUAGCUGGGUGUGGUGGCACGUGCCUAUGGUUCCAGCUACUCUGGGGGCUGCGGUGGGAGGAUCGUUUGAGCCUGGGAAACGGAGGCUGCAGUGAGCUGAGAUCGCACCACUGCACUCUAACCUGGGCAACAGAAUGAA
rnacentral:lncRNA from 1 species